UACGUAGGGAGCAAGCGUUGUCCGGAAUCAUUGGGCGUAAAGCGCGCGUAGGCGGCCCUGUAAGUCCGUUGUGAAAGUCAAAGGCUCAACCUUUGAAAGCCGAUGGAUACUGCAGGGCUAGAGUCCGGAAGAGGAGAGUGGAAUUCCUGGUGUAGCGGUGAAAUGCGCAGAUAUCAGGAAGAACACCAAUGGCGAAAGCAGCUCUCUGGGACGGUACUGACGCUGAGACGCGAAAGCGUGGGGAGCGAACAGG
rnacentral:rRNA from 1 species